CAGCAGCCGCGGGAACACGUAGGGCGCAAGCGUUGUCCGGAAUUAUUGGGCGUAAAGAGCUCGUAGGCGGUUUGUCGCGUCUGCUGUGAAAUCCCGAGGCUCAACCUCGGGCUUGCAGUGGGUACGGGCAGACUAGAGUGCGGUAGGGGAGAUUGGAAUUCCUGGUGUAGCGGUGGAAUGCGCAGAUAUCAGGAGGAACACCGAUGGCGAAGGCAGAUCUCUGGGCCGUAACUGACGCUGAGGAGCGAAAGCGUGGGGAGCGAACAGGAUUAGAUACCCCGGUAGUCCCUGUCUCUUAUAC
rnacentral:rRNA from 1 species